UCUCCAAAUUGAUUUUAUGCUUGCAUAAAUGAUUUUUGGAUUCGGAGCGAGUGGCGAACUGGUGAGUAACACGUGGGUAACCUGCCCCGAAGCGGGGGAUAACAUUUGGAAACAAGUGCUAAUACCGCAUAAUUAGUUGGAACCGCAUGGUUCCAACUUGAAAGAUGGCUCUGCUAUCACUUUGGGAUGGACCCGCGCCGUAUUAGUUAGUUGGUGAGAUAAAAGCCCACCAAGACGAUGAUACGUAGCCGACCUGAGAGGGUAAUCGGCCACAUUGGGACUGAGACACGGCCCAGACUCCUACGGGAGGCAGCAGUAGGGAAUCUUCCACAAUGGACGAAAGUCUGAUGGAGCAACGCCGCGUGAGUGAUGAAGGUUUUCGGAUCGUAAAACUCUGUUGUUAAAGAAGAACAAGUGUUAGAGUAACUGUUAACACUUUGACGGUAUUUAACCAGAAAGCCACGGCUAACUACGUGCCAGCAGCCGCGGUAAUACGUAGGUGGCAAGCGUUGUCCGGAUUUAUUGGGCGUAAAGCGAGCGCAGGCGGUUUUGUAAGUCUGCUGUGAAAGCCCUCAGCUCAACUGAGGAAGUGCAGUGGAAACUACAAAACUUGAGUACAGAAGAGGAAAGUGGAACUCCAUGUGUAGCGGUGAAAUGCGUAGAUAUAUGGAAGAACACCAGUGGCGAAGGCGGCUUUCUGGUCUGUUACUGACGCUGAGGCUCGAAAGCAUGGGUAGCGAACAGGAUUAGAUACCCUGGUAGUCCAUGCCGUAAACGAUGAAUACUAGGUGUUGGAGGGUUUCCGCCCUUCAGUGCCGCAGCUAACGCAUUAAGUAUUCCGCCUGGGGAGUACGACCGCAAGGUUGAAACUCAAAGGAAUUGACGGGGGCCCGCACAAGUGGUGGAGCAUGUGGUUUAAUUCGAUGCUACGCGAAGAACCUUACCAGCUCUUGACAUCUUCUGCCAACCCAAGAGAUUGGGCGUUCCCUUCGGGGACAGAAUGACAGGUGGUGCAUGGUUGUCGUCAGCUCGUGUCGUGAGAUGUUGGGUUAAGUCCCGCAACGAGCGCAACCCUUAUUAUUAGUUGCCAGCAUUUAGUUGGGCACUCUAGUGAGACUGCCGGUGAUAAACCGGAGGAAGGUGGGGACGACGUCAAAUCAUCAUGCCCCUUAUGAGCUGGGCUACACACGUGCUACAAUGGAUGGUACAACGAGUCGCGAAACCGCGAGGUCAAGCUAAUCUCUUAAAGCCAUUCUCAGUUCGGAUUGCAGGCUGCAACUCGCCUGCAUGAAGUGGAA
rnacentral:rRNA from 2 species